AUUGAACGCUGGCGGAAUGCUUUACACAUGCAAGUCGAACGGCAGCACGGGGGCAACCUUGGUGGCGAGUGGCGAACGGGUGAGUAACACAUCGAAACGUACCCAGUCGUGGGGGAUAACGUAGCGAAAGCUACGCUAAUACCGCAUACGAUCUAUGGAUGAAAGCGGGGGACCUGUAAGGGCCUCGCGCGAUUGGAGCGGUCGAUGGCAGAUUAGGUAGUUGGUGGGGUAAAGGCUCACCAAGCCGACGAUCUGUAGCUGGUCUGAGAGGACGACCAGCCACACUGGAACUGAGACACGGUCCAGACUCCUACGGGAGGCAGCAGUGGGGAAUUUUGGACAAUGGACGCAAGUCUGAUCCAGCCAUUCCGCGUGCAGGACGAAGGCCUUCGGGUUGUAAACUGCUUUUGUACAGAACGAAAAGGUCUUUAUUAAUACUAGGGGCUCAUGACGGUACUGUAAGAAUAAGCACCGGCUAACUACGUGCCAGCCGCCGCCGUAACAC
rnacentral:rRNA from 1 species